rnacentral:rRNA from 1 species
UACGUAGGGUGCAAGCGUUGUCCGGAAUUAUUGGGCGUAAAGAGCUCGUAGGCGGUCUGUCGCGUCUGCUGUGAAAACUCGGGGCUUAACCCCGGGCCUGCAGUGGGUACGGGCAGACUAGAGUGCGGUAGGGGAGACUGGAAUUCCUGGUGUAGCGGUGAAAUGCGCAGAUAUCAGGAGGAACACCGGUGGCGAAGGCAGGUCUCUGGGCCACUACUGACGCUGAGAAGCGAAAGCAUGGGGAGCGAACAGG